UAGCAUAUGCUUGUCUCAAAGAUUAAGCCAUGCAUGUCUCAGUGUAAACACAAGUAUUGUGAAACUGCGAAUGGCUCAUUAUAUCAGUGAUAAUCUCUUUGAUCGUGCGCGGCACAUGGAUAACUGUGCUAACCGUAGAGCUAAUACAUGCCCAGAUCUCUUAUGUCCUUGCGUCAUGAGAGAGCAUUUAUUAGAUUCGAGCCAACCCAAUUUAUUUUGGUGCGGAUGAGUCAUAAUAACUUUGCGAAUCACAGAGCCCCUUUUCGGGGCGGUGAUGCAUCAUUCGAAUCUCUGCCCUAUCAGCUUUGGAUGGUAGUGUCGUGGACUACCAUGGCGAUAACGGGUAACGGAGAAUUAGGGUUCGAUUCCGGAGAGGGAGCCUGAGAAAUGGCUACCACAUCCAAGGAAGGCAGCAGGCGCGUAAAUUACCCAAUCCUGACUCAGGGAGGUAGUGACCAUAAAUAACGACGCUCGGCCAUUGGUCGUGCGAUCGGAAUGCGGGAAGUUUUAAGCCCUUCUCGAAAGCAACUGGAGGGCAAGUCUGGUGCCAGCAGCCGCGGUAAUACCAGCUCCAGUAGCGUAUAUUAAAGUUGUUGCAGUUAAAAAGCUCGUAGUUGGAUGUCGGAAAAGGCCUCUUGGUGUCCGGCACUCUCUGAGUGUCUUGUGACCCAGAGGAAUUUUUUUUAUUCUCAUUGAGAUUUUAUAUAAUCUUUUAUGAAGUGAAGAAAAAUCUUUUCCUUUGACUGGAAUCGGGUGUCUUUUGUGCAUUGAUUUGCACAAUACACCAGUUUCAACGGUUUCGGUCAUGUUACUGUGAAGAAAUCAGAGUGCUCAAAGCAGGCAAUUUUGCCGGAAUGGAUUAGCAUGGGAUAACCACCAUUGACCUCGUUCUUUGGUUAGUUGGUUCAAAAGAAUGAUGGCGCUUGAUUAAUAGGGACAGUUGGGGGCAUUCGUAUUCCGAAGUCAGAGGUGAAAUUCUUGGAUUUUCGGAAGACGAACAUAUGCGAAAGCAUUUGCCAAGGAUGUUUUCAUUAAUCAAGAACGAAAGUUCGGGGAUCGAAGACGAUCAGAUACCGUCGUAGUCCGAACCAUAAACGAUGCCGACUAGGGAUUGGAAGAUUCGCCUUACGCAAUCUUUCAGCACCUUCCGAGAAAUCAAAGUUUUUGGGUUCCGGGGGGAGUAUGGUCGCAAGGCUGAAACUUAAAGGAAUUGACGGAAGGGCACCACCAGGAGUGGAGCCUGCGGCUUAAUUUGACUCAACACGGGGAAACUUACCAGGUCCAGACAUAGGAAGGAUUGACAGAUUGACAGCUCUUUCUUGAUUCUAUGGGUGGUGGUGCAUGGCCGUUCUUAGUUGGUGGAGUGAUUUGUCUGGUUAAUUCCGAUAACGAACGAGACCUUCACCUCUAAAUAGUGUGGAGAAAUUCUUUUUUGAAUUUCUUUUUUUUUCUUCUUUUGGAGAUUCACACUUCUUAGAGGGACGAUGUGCGUUAGCACAAGGAAGUUGGAGGCAAUAACAGGUCUGUGAUGCCCUUAGAUGUCCUGGGCCGCACGCGUGCUACACUGACGGAUACAACAAGUUUGCUCUUUUACCUGGACUGAAAAGUUUGGGAAAUCUAGCAAUGUCCGUCGUGAUGGGGAUCGACCCUUGCAAUUUGGUCGUGAACGAGGAAUUCCUUGUAAGCGCGAGUCAUCAUCUCGCGUUGAAUACGUCCCUGCCCUUUGUACACACCGCCCGUCGCUCCUACCGAUGGAUGGUCCGGUGAAAUCUUCGGAUGUUCUUUUUUGUUGAUUUGUCUUUUUGGUGAAUUAGCAGGGAGCAGAAGUUGAUUAAACUUUAUCAUCUAGAGGAAGGAGAAGUCGUAACAAGGUUUCC
rnacentral:rRNA from 1 species